AUAGAUAAAGAAUCUCUUUCUCUAAACCUUUUGUUUAAAAAAAAAAAAGUGAAAAGAUUUUUUUUUUCAAAAACCCUAACCCGGCCACCGUCCCCCGCACACUUCAUUUCUCCAGUUCCUCAACAUUUCCUAAAUACCUAUUUCUCUCUUGGUAAAAUUCUUCUUGAAUUUCGCUGGUAUGUUUCCCCAUAUGAAUCUCGUUGAUAAAAUUUUCUCAUCAUAUGAAUUUCGCUCAAGAUUUGUUUGUGGAGUAUCAAUUGCAAUGUCAAUAAUCGUUUGCACUUUGAAUUGAUCUCGAGCAAAUUUGGUAGGUAAUUUUUUCUUAAAAUUUUGCUGGUAGUUUCAUUUUUAUUUUUUGAUUUGAAUUGCUCUCAAUUUUCUAUUAUGAUCUCAAAUUUCUAUCUUAUAUUUCUAGCAAAUGGUAUUUGGUGCUGAUUAAAACGCAAUCUUCGAUCCCUAAAAACAUUCAAUCCCUAAAAGUUCUUUCAAAUGUAGCUUGUAUGAGGUAAGAUCUCAGGUUCUUUCUGUCUAAUCACUGUUCUAUUGUUGCUAAAAAUGCUAAUAAUAGGAAGCCCAAAUCUUUAUUUGCUGCUAAAACCCCAAAUCUGCGCCUACUGUGAAGCAUUUAAGGGGUAAAUUGAUUGAAAAUGGUGGAAAUUUGGUGAAAAAAUGUAAUAGUUUGCGAAAACCAGAAAAACCUAUUUCUAGAAGUGCUUGUAGCUUGAAGAAAAUCCUACUCCUUGUUUGUAUUCUUGGAAAUCUGGGGGGCGUGGGUCUGAUUUAGGUGGAAAGGAACCAAAUUUGGUUCCUCCAUAGAUACAAGGAGGUUCAACAUAAGUGGUCAAAGCGACACCCACUACUAGUUAUGUUGCUGGUCAUGUUCUUUCUGCUGUUAGAGAUAAGAGGAAAUGUAGACCUGGAGGAUUGCAUGCUAUUGGGGAUAAUGACUUGUUUGGGUCUAGUAAAACUAAGGUGUUUCGGGGUGAGUUUUUCAGUUUGGAUUCUUUUGAUUUUUCAAUUUGAAUUGUUUUAGAAGUGGAGUAUUUAACAUAUCACAUGCUAAUAGAGGUGGAUAUCACGUUCAUGCUUUUUAACCCCUCGUAUUUUCUUCCCUUAAAUUUUGUAGCCUAUGCAAAGGGGGAGUAUUCUUCAUGGUUCGCAAUUUCAAUAAGCAAAUGCAAGCACUUGAUUAAUCAGCACAGUUGUAAGCAAUGUAGAUGAUGGAUUUUGGCUCACUGUUGAGAGUAAAUGGUUCUGUUCUGUAUGGGCAACACAUCAGUACUACAGUGGAGUACCUACUACUUAUUCUCAAGUGAAGAUUGAUGAGUUAAGGGAUUUAUUGGUUACCCAUGUGUCCGAGCAUAAGGAACUAAAUGAAGAGUCCAAAGAUGGUAUGGAUUAUGAAGACACUGAUGUGACAUACAGGAUUUAUGACUUUAUUUUUAUUUUAGAAUUUUGUAUUUCUUUACAGAGAAGAUUAUAGGACAAAAUAUUAAUUACCUUUAGGUGUAAACAUUUUUUGUAAUAUUUUUUUGGGAUUAAUUAAAAGGUUUGGAUUAUUUUGGUAUUAUAA